rfam:Camelus ferus unplaced genomic scaffold scaffold66, whole genome shotgun sequence.
GAGGGUACAGCUCAGUGGUAGAGCACAUGCUUAGCAUGCAUGCGGUCCUGGGUUCAAUCCCCAAUACUCCUCU